rnacentral:rRNA from 1 species
UGGGAAGAUACUUGGUUAGGUGACUCACCACUAGCCUUGCAGUAUCCGUCCCUUUACAACAUAGCACAACGGAAAGCGGUCUCCAUUGCUACAGUGCUGGGCUCCGUUCCUCUUAAUAUACAAUUUAGGCGAUCUGUUAUUGGUGAGCGUUGGGAUAGAUGGUUACAUCUUGUACGUAGGUUAAUGGAGGUUAACCUUUCCGAUGUACCAGACACUCUGCAAUGGAAGCUUUCCAGGUCAGGAGUCUUCUCGGUUAAAUCCAUGUACACGGACUUGAUUAAUACUGGGACUAUCCCGCGAACGGAGCAUAUUUGGAAAGUUAAGGUGCCCUUGAAGAUAAAAGUUUUUAUGUGGUUUCUGCAUAAGGGUGUUAUUCUCACUAAAGAUAAUUUAGCUAAGCGUAACUGA